rnacentral:rRNA from 1 species
GACGAACGCUGGCGGCGUGCUUAACACAUGCAAGUCGAACGGUAAGGCCCUUCGGGGUACACGAGUGGCGAACGGGUGAGUAACACGUGGGUGAUCUGCCCUGCACUUCGGGAUAAGCCUGGGAAACUGGGUCUAAUACCGGAUAGGACUCCGGACUGCAUGGUCUGGGGUGGAAAGCUUUUGCGGUGGGGGAUGGGCCCGCGGCUUAUCAGCUUGUUGGUGGGGUGAUGGCCUACCAAGGCGACGACGGGUAGCCGGCCUGAGAGGGUGACCGGCCACACUGGGACUGAGAUAUGGCCCAGACUCCUACGGGAGGCAGCAGUGGGGAAUAUUGCACAAUGGGCGCAAGCCUGAUGCAGCGACGCCGCGUGAGGGAUGACGGCCUUCGGGUUGUAAACCUCUUUCAGCAUCGACGAAGCGAAAGUGACGGUAGGUGCAGAAGAAGGACCGGCCAACUACGUGCCAGCAGCCGCCGUAA